rnacentral:misc_RNA from 1 species
GAUGAAGAACGCAGCGAAAUGUGAUAAGUAAUGUGAAUUGCAGAAUUCAGUGAAUCAUCGAAUCUUUGAACGCAUCUUGCGCUCCUUGGUAUUCUGAGGAGCAUGCCUGUUUGAGUGUCAUUAAAUUCUCAACUACACUGACUUUGAAUUGGUGUGGCUUGGAUUUGGGGGGAAAAUUGUUGUGGGCUUUUUGUAUAGUCUGCUCCCCUGAAAUUGAUUAGCGGUACCUUUGUGGAACUGUCUACAGGUGUGAUAAUUAUCUACAUCUUAGACAUCUGCUGGAAUGCUGCUUUCUAAACCUUACUUGUAUUGACAAUCUUGACCUCAAAUCAGGAAGGACUACCCGCUGAACUUAAGCAUAUCAAUAAGCGGAGGA